UAAUACACUGAGCUAUAAUUCAACUACCUAACAAUCAUUAAUACACAAAGCUAAUUAUAACUGAACUGAACAUCUUACCAAAUAACCGACCGCCCUUAGAACAAGUGGCAAAGGGCUUGGCGGUUGGUACCUGAGACCCAAGUUUGAAUUCUAGUUGAUUCAUAUUUCUAGCUAAAUCUAGCUAAAUUUAUUUCUAAAUAAAAUAAACGAAGCGGAUAGUGCACUAUCUAUCUCUCAACGGAAAAAGAAAA
rnacentral:lncRNA from 1 species